GCAGAUAUGGUCAAAAAUAUGUCCAAAAUCAGAUCAGUGAAACAAACACGUAACGCAGAUCACCCCUCCCACAGACUCUUAACCUUCUGAGCAUGACAAAAUGUAACACAACUCAAUGUCAAUGUGGAGACAAGAACCCAGCAUCUUUGUUUCAACUUUUUCCUUUGUUAUAUAUUACAGUGCUCUAUAAAAUUUUUCCUUUUUCCUUUUAAAGCAUUUAGACAAUACAAGACUAAAAGAUGUCUGGAAAUACGUCUUAUACAAAAAUGAAUUUUUAUCUUAAAAUAACAUUCAAAAAGGCACUUCAUUCUGUAAGAAAAAAUUCAGAGUCAGGUCAACUGCUCUAAGCAGGGGGGUGGGUAAAAUUGUCUGCAUAGUGGGAGGGGAAGAAAGGGAGAGAAAUUAACUGCUGAAAUACAAGCUUCUUUUUUGGCAUGUUUUAAGAAAAGCUGAUCCAGUAAAAGGUGUCCAUUUAUGAAAU